CGCCUAAUGCAUUUCAAAAAACGAGUGCGUGGCUUGCUGUCCAGGUAAGAAAUAAUCUCAGCUAAUUAUUAUGUCGUAAUCAAAACACGUUCCCACAACCUUGGUUAGUUUGUGUCCCUGUAACCAGGGAAGCAUGGUGGCCUAAAAAUUAUUUUGUGCAUUUUACAGUUGUUUAGUGAAAGCACUGCUGCAGCCAUGGAUUUCCACAGCAAACAAGAGGCAUGCGAGAAGCUACAUUACUCAACAGCAAUGUCAGACUUCACAAGAUGCACAAACAAGCAGUUUGACAGCAUCAAUUCUUUCAGGCCAGAGCAUGUAAAAUACAAUGAACCUGAACACAUUGCUGUAAGUAAUUGAUAUUAUUACUGUAUUAAUGAGUCUUUUUGCUUAUGCUGAAAAUAUUAUUGAAUUUCAGACAUUGAAGGAGAAUAUAGCCUGGAUGGACGAUUUGCAGAUGUACAUCGAGUCGUUGCCUGUGCAGAGGCGAGCAUGUUUUCUGACCAAGCCAAUGUGUGCAGUGCCUAGAAUAAGACUGCGCAGUACAGUAGCACUAGUCGAGAGCCUCCCGAGCUCUGGUUUCUGCUAUGUGCUCGUAGGAAACUUCGGACAAGAUCCUUUGGAGUGCUUCUUUGGGAUAGUGAGGCACGUUGCUGGCGAUGGAGGGCAGCUUACCCUGAGCACUUCUUAUUCAAAUGCAUGUCUCAGGUUGAUGCCCUGGCCGUCCUCUUCGACGACGUUUUAUUGGAGCCACCAGACAGCGUUCAAUGCGCCUCUGCUUCAAGCCAAGUGCUGUCACCGAAAGAGUGCAUAGUGGACUACCUCGCAGGAUAUGUGACCAAAAAGUUUCUCUCUGAAGGGCUCGUCUCAGCAAGCAAGCGCCCUAAUGCUUGCCAAGAGGUAUCCUGCAGGUGCCGCCAUGCUGCCUGCUCAGCCCCUUGCAGACUGUAGAGGGCUAUGUCGAAGAACUCACUGUUAAUAGAGUGGCUUGUGCAGACAUCUACAUGAACAUUGUGGAGAGUUCUGUUGGAUAAUCGCACUUCAGCUGCUGCUGUAGGUUGUGGCUCCCACUAUGUAGGCACCACGGCAGAAAUUGUGCUUUUUUUUUUUCUGUUGCCGUCUGCACUUCUUCACAAGGGAAAACAACAAACUUGCACGGGCAAGUAAGCGCGCAGCAUGCCCAGCCGGUGGGGGCAAGAAAGUGAUGUGCUGAAUCGCUUCCUUAAAGGGCCCCUCACCAGGUCUUGCCAUUUUGAGCUCACAAGCACAGAGCUUGCCAACGAUCGUGUUUGCAAAGAAUUACUUCGCUACACGCCACGGAAAGGCCUGAAAUUUCAAUCCGAACACAGUUUCUCUCUUCACUCGCGGUGAAUCCGCCCGGAGGGGGACAGUGACGCAGUCGGGCUCCUGUGCCUACGUAAUCGUGUCCGCAGUGUGACGUCGCUCGUGGUGACACGUGACUUCGAGAAUUAUUCAAGACAACGCCUGUUAUCUGUGCGAUGUGUUGCUUGAAUUGACGAAUUGAAGUUUAGAGAAACAAUAAAACCCACAAACGGAA
rnacentral:lncRNA from 1 species